CUCUUCCUCUCUCAGCACACCCACCCCCUUCGCGUCUCGUCGGGCGCCCGAGCCGUCUUUCCCAAGCGAGCUGGGCGGGGCUCGGGAGGCGCUGAGCGAGCCCGACCAAGGCCCAGUGUCUUCCUUAAAGCCGGUUAGCGGUAGCGCUGCCCCCGGAGAGACGCGGCGUUCGGGAACGUCAUCCUCUCACCAUUAUCAAAACAACGCUCAGCGGCCCCGCACGCUCCUUACGCCAGGCCUUGGCGGAGCUUCCUUCCUGUUUUGAAUCUCGGCGCCCAGAUUGGGACGCGCGAAGGACGGCGAGGGAAGUCUCUGAGCGCCCACAGAGUGUUGUUGGCCCGUCGCCGCUGCGAAACUCGCAGGCAGACGCGGCCUCCCUGGGCGGGCUCGUUAUUUUAGUAAGGAAAAGCACUGCCGGAAUAACCAGAUUGGCCUUCUCUAAAGAACCCAAAACAACCUCGACACUUGCACAGUUAAUGAAUACAGUACUAUACUCUCCAAGUAAAAACACAAAAAAUUGCAGCCCUUCAACAGGACCCGGUGCGCGUUCACUCAGAAAUCCAGAAAGAACCCUACCCUUGGCAGAACAGAAAGGAGGAACAUAUAAUCAAGGAUGAAUAGCCUGAACCUGUAAGGAUGAUGUCAGAUAUGGAUACUACAAUGGAUUAGCCAAACAAGAGGCAGAAAAAGCUCCUUUCAUUUUUUAGUGGUUUACUUUGAAGAAAUUUGGUGUCCCAAAGAUUGCUAAUAUAGUUGAUUGGCCAAUCAAGAGGCAGAAGGGUGUUAAGUUAAAUUUGUGGGUGAUACUUAGUGGCACGAAAAGAGAAAUAAUGUCUCAAACACCGAAGAAAACAGGAGAAGGUGGGACACCUUUGGAAAGAAGAGGAUCAAAACAAGAUAUUGAAUUUAAGGGAGACAUUUUAAAAAUGUUUACAGAAAUUAAAAAAGGUAUUAAACAACGUGAGAAGAAUUUGGAGAUGAGAUUAGAAUCGAUAGAUAAAAAAUAUGACAUGACAGUUAAUGAAUUGAGGGGACAGAUGAAGGAAAUAACAAAAAGAAUGCAAAACCUGGAAGAAGAAAUGAAACGAAUAAAACAGGAAGUAAAGGAAAUAAGGAAGGAGCAAGAAAGGGUUAAGGGAGAAGUUGCAGAAAUUAAGAAGACACAAAAAGAAUUAUGGGAUGCGAUUGCUGGACUCCUUUAAAUUAGGAGGUUUCUUUCACAGAAGGCAGAGCUAACUACUCAAAGCUGCAGCUCUUAUUUAAGGUUCAGUCUGAGGUUGACUGAUACUGAAACAUUUGAGUUCUGCUCUAGUGGAGUCUCCAGCCAGAACCCUGCAUAGAACUGUCCAGGGAGCUGUUAAAUCCUGAAGUCUAGCCCCACCCUGCCCAAACCUAAACUCUUACCUCGAGUCAGAAACUCUGUAAAACUGAGAUUGUUCUUGUUACAGAACAAUUUUUUUAGUCCAAUUGUGUGUGAAGGAAGCCCCCUGGCAGCAGAGAAUUAGGUGUGCUGCAAGCAUAAAUUGCACAACCGAUGGUGGAGAAUACAGCCCUGCAAGGCCAGCUCCAGGCAGCCCAUACUGCUGCCACCUCCAGUCCAACCCAAAUACCUCCUAGGGGAAAGUGUCUCAUUAGCCUCCCAGACAAAAUUGUUGAAAACCCAAUUAAUGUUUCUUAACUUUUUGGUCCAAUUGCCUUCCAGCUGAUGGAUUUUCUGGCAGACCAAAUGGAAACCUGUUUUGCCUGUCAUAUGUGUUGGAGCCUUGCCUGCUUCCUUAAUGAUUAUGCCACCUUCCUUGUGGAAUUUAAAUGGGCAUUUGAAGAGCCACAUCAGAAAGCACCCAGUUGGUGGAUCUGCCCUUUAUGCCAGGGAAUGGAGUUUGUGCUUGACUGUUUCAAGUACUGCCCAGCACCUAGAGUAGAAUGAGGCAGCCCUCACGGAUCAAUUUCAGGAGGGCCUAGGGGGAUCGCAUUCAGGAUGAAUUUACUUAGAUUGAUGUACCUACACACAGCAGUGAGUUGGGGGUCACAGCAAUCUCUUUCUGAGUAGUUGACUAUUGCUGUGUCAUGGGUAAUGUGUGUGUGUGUGGUGGGGUAUUAUAGCAUUGUUAUUGGGAUGUUGUGAAGUGCCUGUUGUGGUACAGGUAUGUUUGUUUUUGGUUUCUGCUGUUACUAUGUUGCUGACCUGCUGAGUGUGCAUAGGAUCUUAGUCCAGGUAUAGUGGCAAAGGGUCAGACUGUUAUACAUUUGAGGAAUCUGUUAGUGUUUUUAAGAAAGCAAGUCUCAGUUCAGUGGAAAUUACUCUCAAGUAAGUGUGCCUAGGAUUGCAGUCUUGAAUGUGUGAUUUUUUCCUUAACCCAAAGCAUACUGGAAAUAAAAAUUAUUGUAAAUUGUUGUGCACA